rnacentral:rRNA from 1 species
GAUGAACGCUGGCGGCGUGCCUAAUACAUGCAAGUCGAACGCUUCACUUCGGUGAAGAGUGGCGAACGGGUGCGUAAUACAUAAGUAACCUGGCAUCUACAGGGGGAUAACUGAUGGAAACGUCAGCUAAGACCGCAUAGGUGUAGAGAUCGCAUGAACUCUAUAUGAAAAGUGCUACGGGACUGGUAGAUGAUGGACUUAUGGCGCAUUAGCUUGUUGGUAGGGUAACGGCCUACCAAGGCGACGAUGCGUAGCCGACCUGAGAGGGUGACCGGGCACACUGGGACUGAGACACGGGCCAGACUACGACGGGAGGCAGCAGGGGGGAAUAUUGGACAAUGGGCGAAAGCCUGAUCAAGCCAUGCCGAGGGUGUGAAGAAUGUUUUCGGAUUGUAAAGCACUGGAAGCGGGGAGGAAGGGGAGUAAGAGAAUAACGUGCUGGUUUGAAGUGACCAAAAGAAGAAGCACCGGCUAACUUCGUG